ACGAUUUACCAAACUGCUAUGGAAGAUGAGUUCGUAAGUUCUAAUACUUAUAAUAGUACUUAACCAGCGCUAACAUACAAUUAUAAUAAGUGGGAAUCUAAAAUCAUGAAAUUCGCCAACACUUAGACUAAAAAACCCUUAAGCGCCAACACUUAGUCAUUUCCCCCCUUUAUCGAAAUUUUCUCUUUGACUUAACACACUCUCAAAUUGACUCUCAGAAUCGACUCUCACACUCUCAAAUUUUGACUCACCGACCCAGUAACCUCACCAGCCGCUGCCUCCAUUGAAGAUAGCCGCAGCCUGUUAUCCUUUGCCAACACCAAUUUCUGCUUGUACGAAUGCAAUAUUUCUGGAAUUAAAGCUUUCCCUUUGCUAUAAUCACAGGACCACAGUUGAUCAUGUUUCACAGCAAAUUGAAGAGUCUAAACAUUUGGAAGAAACACAACAUUUAGAGGAAACACAGCCUGGAAGAACAUCUGAAGAUGCUGAACAGCCUGAAGAUGAGAUUGAAUUGUCUGAAGAUGCUGAAAACGCAAAUGCACCUAAGCGGAAGAGACAUAGAGGCCCAACAUUGAUGAAAAACAUAGCAAAGGAUCCAAAUAUCAGAGAGCGAGUUGAUUUCAUAGCCUUAGGCGAACCUUGCGGUCCUGGUUCGGUUAAGCUGUCAUCCUACUUAGGUCCAUUGGUACGAGAACAUGUGCCUGUGACAGUUGAGGGUUGGUUGAAAACUAGCAAAGAAGUCAAAACUGUGAUGUGGAGAUCUAUCCAGGCAAGGUUCGAACUUGAUCAUGAGUAUCAAAAGAAAGCUAUUUUCAAGCAGAUGGGUUGUCUAUGGAAGUCAUCCAAGUCAAGCUAAGUAAAUAAGAUUAACAAAGCCUCAACUAACCAACAAAGGAUGAAUCUGCGACCCGGCAAUGUUUCUCCAACUGGAUUUUCAUACAAAAGAUGAUGUGGUUGUUGCUGAAGGUCGUUGGCAUACAACUGAAGAAGAAGCAUUGGUGAAUGGAGUUCCACUAGGACCAAAUGCAUUUAAAUUAUUUGUGGAUGAAAUAAUUCAACCUAGAUCAUUUAUAUGGCGGCCUAUGAAGGGUAUCGCAUACCUAGAGGACUGCUUUAAGUUGUAUGUGUCAUGGCCUGCCGCAAAAGUUGUCUUAGAAGGCACCACAGAUGCAAGAGGUCAUAAAUCUCCAGUUGAUAUUGCUCAAGGAACAUGUGGAAAAGGUGCUGCAAAAGGUUCUACAUCUCCUACUGAGAAGUCUCUAGCCUCAAAAGAUCCAAAAGAUGCAGUAAAAGGUUCUACAUCGCCUUCUAGGAAGUGUCUACCCUCAAAAGGUCAAAAAGCUGCAACAAAUGGUUCUACAUCUUCUACUGAGAAGUCUCGAGCAUCCAAAGGUCUAAAGGCUUCAGGAAAAGGUUCUAUAUCUCGUGUUGAGAAGUCUCCAGCGCAAAAGGUACUCAGGGGUCCCCUCUUCGAAGAUCCCAUGUAAUUAUGAAUGAAGUUGCUUCUGGUAAUUAUGAAUGAAGUUGCUUCUGGUACUUGUUAGUGUUAAGGUAAUGAACAGUUUAUAAUGUUGACAUGGCAACGUAAGGAAAAUUCCAAUACAGUGUUCAAGGAAAAUCAGAUGUGCAAGUUGGUGGAACUUGCAAAUGGAAAGCGGAUUGUCGCUCAAGCACUCUGGAUUUCAAAUGACCCAGACCAAAAUAUACACUGUGUUCGCUUGGGGUAUAAUGGAGUUAAAGUUCUGGUUAAGACAGUAGACAUAUCUGAUGCAGCAGUUUGGAAGCCAUCUUCUGCAAUCGAGUGUAUGGACAAUGAACUUGGGACAUAUAUUGCAUGGCCAGAGGAUAAAGUUGUCAUGGUUUGAGUUCAACAAACUAAGGGAAUGAAGAAAACUUGGUCCAGAUUAGCUAGUUUUACUUAAUUUAAAACUGAGCUAACUUUGCCUUUAUGGCUUCUUUAGUGUAGUAUUCAGACCUGUCUUUUGGAUUGAUAGUUAGUCUACUUAUGUGACUUGGAUUGAG